rnacentral:rRNA from 1 species
AUUGAACGCUGGCGGCAUGCCUUACACAUGCAAGUCGAACGGUAACGGGCCUUCGGGUGCCGACGAGUGGCGAACGGGUGAGUAAUGUAUCGGAACGUACCUUUCAGUGGGGGAUAACGUAGCGAAAGUUACGCUAAUACCGCAUAUUCUGUGAGCAGGAAAGCAGGGGAUCGCAAGACCUUGCGCUGAUUGAGCGGCCGAUAUCAGAUUAGCUAGUUGGUGAGGUAAAGGCUCACCAAGGCGACGAUCUGUAGCGGGUCUGAGAGGAUGAUCCGCCACACUGGAACUGAGAGACGGUCCAGACUCCUACGGGAGGCAGCAGCGGGGAAUUUUGGACGAUGGGGGCAACCCUGAUCCAGCCAUGCCGCGUGAGUGAAGAAGGCCUUCGGGUUGUAAAGCUCUUUCGGCCGGGAAGAAAUCGUAUCAGCUAAUACCUGGUGCGGAUGACGGUACCGGCAUAAGAAGCACCGGCUAACUACGUGCCAGCCGCCGCGGUAACAC